rnacentral:rRNA from 1 species
GGAGGUAGUGACAAUAAAUCACAAUGCGGAACUUCUGUUUUGCAAUUGGAUUGAGAACAACGCACAACACUUAUCGAUAAACAAUUGGAGGGCAAGUCUGGUGCCAGCAGCCGCGGUAAUUCCAGCUCCAAUAGCGUAUAUUAACGUUGUUGCAGUUAAAAAGCUCGUAGUUGAAGUGAAGUGUGAACCUUCUGGAUUUUCGUUUGAAUUUCUUGCUAGUUCGCACUCUUUCCAAAUAGUUUGCAUGGGUAUUCACUUAUCUGUGUAUUGCAUUUGGUCAUUUACUGUGAGAAAAUUAGAGUGUUCAAAGCAUACGUUUGUUUGAAUACAUUAGCAUGGAAUAAUUCGAAAAGGCUUUCAUGUUCGAUUUGAUUGGUUUGUUCGUGAAGGCAAGAUUAAAAGGGACAGUUGGGGGUAUUCAUAUUCAAUAGUCAGAGGUGAAAUUCUCGGAUUUAUGGAAGAUGAACAAGUGCGAAAGCA